CUGCUAGCAAGUGGUUUUGCUAUUAAGAACACAGAGCUCUCACUCAGAAGAGGUCAGAUCCCAGUGUGAAAAUCCUUGAUAGCAUGUUGUGAUCAAAGGCUUCAACAUUUCUUCUUUUCUGGUCAGAAAAGAAUGUCAGAUUCUGACAGUUCCUGUGGGGCUGGAUGGACCUCUCCCACUUGGCCCUUCUGUGUGCACAACUUAUCCUGAGGAACAUUCAGCAAUUUUCAAAACUUUGAGCUUCAUCACCAAGAUGGGUUUUGGGGAAGGCCACAGCUUUGCCUGUAUCAACAAGCAAUAUGAUGCAGUUGGAGCAGAUCUCUGGAGUGAGUUGGUGCUGAGGACCCAGCCUCAGCAGCUGCUCGAGGCUCCCUUCAGUCUGGCCCCAGGCUGGCUGGGUGCCCAUGAGGAGGUGGCAUGCACCAGGAGUGCUGCUGGGCAGCACCUCUCCUCAUGGGCUUGCCUAGCAGAAGCCCAGCUGGAGCUCCUUGAGACCAGUCUGCAGCACAAACUUCAAUGGGUUGUACCUGGGGAAGGCAUGAUCAUUUCAUGAUUUUACGUAAAUUGCAACAAUUAGACAGCCCUCUCUAAGGUUAAGGACUAGCUAAACUCUUGUUCUGACUUCUCUCCCAUGUGCUUGUUGCCUCCUUGUCCGAGAAUGGAUUCUCAACACUGAGAAGAGUUCAAGACAUUCAUCUUAAAUGACUGAAGUCUUUUCCUGGAGCCACGAAGACGUAACUUAAGCGGGAGAUUUAUUGAAUAGAAAACAAAUAUUCCAUAUUCUGAUCCUGCAAAUGACCAUGAGUCAAUAAAUCUGAGAAAGCUGCUCACGCACUUAACCAUUUGCAGAACUGGGUCCCCGAAAAGGAUCUUCAUAGUAAUGAUCAACAAAUAAUGGAUAGAGGUCCAGUGCAGAAAUUUGGAUGCUUAUUAUACUUAUGUAAACCUUUUGGAUUGACAUCACUUGGCUGCAAAUACACGGUCUAAGACAGCGGAAAGUGUUGUAGCACUUCUACUAUUAGUCAGACCCCUGAAGAGCAGAGAGCAUCAUGGAGAAGAAAAAACACUGAAAAAGAAAUAAACCAAACUUUGCUGAAAUGGCAAUAAAAGCUUGUUGCAGAUGGAAAGAAUAUGAUAUAUUACCAGAAAUUAUUAGCCUUUCCAGGUCCAUCCCAGUCAACGCUUUGGCAUGUUCAUAACUUGAAUGCUCUCAUCUUCUGAAUUUGAACAUGUCACCGCUCUGGAUCCCGAGCACAGUCAUGCUGCUGCCAGUGUUGUACCAGCGGGUGGCAUCUGUCCUACCAUGCUUCCAGGAUACUGUGGCAUCUGACCUGCAGCUGGUGCACAUUUCGCAGUCAGAACCAUGACCGUAGGUACAAAGCAUAUAAGGAAUCACAGAUCUAAACAGGCAGUUCAGCUUAAUGAAGGAAUACAGUAUUUUUCUUUGACUCUCACUGACUUCAUAAAGCCAGCAUUUCACUAUAAGCCUGUAUUUCCUUAUCACUUUCCCAAUGCAACUGUGGAUACAGUUCCAUCAUGACAAAGAACUCUGUAGCGCAUCUGGAGACGGACCCCUCACAAGGGAGCAUACAUGCCCCUCAGAGAAGCACAGUCGAGGAAUCCUAGGAGAGUGAUGCAAUUCCCUUAAGUGCCAGAAAUUUCAUAGACCUUGUUGUGUGCACUGGCCACAUGGAUGUAGGAAAACUGAAAAGUUAAAGAUUCAGGCUGCAAGCACUAUGGACUUUGGUCUGGUGCUCACAGGGAGAAGGUGCCUGCCCAGCAGCCUCCUGGAUCAGAUAAAUUGCUGUUUCCCUUACUUUCAUCCAUUGAAGUUUGGUGAUUUGAGAAAACUCUUCAAAGUGUGGAUGAGGGAGCAGUGCUCCAGAACUGGCAGUACCAGGUGAUGUGUAUUUUGGAAUGCCUUUUUAGCACAAGCCAAAUGAUGAAACCACUGAAACUCUGAACCAAACUGAUGACUUUUCAUUUCCCAAGGGCUUUCUGAGCCUGCCCCGAGACCCUUGGAAAUGGCACGGCUUAGGGACAUGACUUUUAGAAUUUAUUUUCAGUUUAAAAUUUCCAAACACUUUCGCAGUGCUCUUUGGGAAAAAAAAAUUCAGUUUUUACAGCUAUAUUGGUAGUGGGGAAAAAGGAGUGAAUAUUGGCAUAUAAAUAAUGUGUGGAUUACAACAAGGGUAAAUUCAAAUUGUUUUAAGUGUUUUUUCUUAUUUUCAACUCACUGUACUUUUGUCCUCUUUCCAGCUCAGCAGAACUUUUAGCCAGCUCAGAUGUUUCCUCAGAGACCCAUAAAAGUUCUACAGCCCAGAGCAAGCCCCAUAAAAUAACUAAAAUCUCCCAGUGUAAUAUUGUGUCUCCCUCCCACUCAGCAAUUAACUCUUCUUCCUCUCACUUACAUACAAGUCAGCUUCCCACACACUUAAUGCCAAGUUUCCUGCUACUCGUUUUUCACUCCAACCUCAGGAGAAGGGAAAGGGAUUUUUAACCAUCCUCUCUUUGGACUAUUCUGGGUCCUUUUCAUCUUUGGGUCUCUCUUAGGACAUCUGCAGUCUGAUACUGACUUGUCUUGAUUUUCUUGGCCAUAGGACACUCAAAUCUACAUCCUUUCAAGGACUUCUCAGAUAAGAACAUAUCUUACCCAACUUACGUGCUCUCUUCUCUCUGACUAUCACCUAUGCUGCUGAUUUAGAAAGAAGUAAGCACUGUGGUUCUUGAAAUCAAAAUCAAGGUGAAGGUCACGCCAUUCAUUUGGCAGCACUUUUACCUAGCUCCAGGAACACAAGGUAAUAGUGAAACUCCAUGGUCUCAGAUAACUCUCACACUUCCCUGUGAUCCAGCCCCAACCCUUUUCUAGCUCCCAUCCCUCCUUUGCUCUUGAUGGCAGACCUGCAACACUCCUCUUUGAACACACACAUUAAUCUUGGUAAUCUUUUUUUUUUUUUUUUUUUUUCCCUUUUUUUGUUCUGGAGGAUGAGGAAUGAC
ensembl:lncRNA